ensembl:rRNA 5S_rRNA 5S ribosomal RNA
GACAUUUGGUGGAGACUGGUGAAGCCACCUGGUCCCAGCAGACCCCAGAGGGCAGUCACGUUCGCUGGUGCUAGGGAAGGUCAUUAAGGGUGAAGCCUGGUGCCAGAUGUGU